UAUCACGGUGCCGAGCGCUCUGUGUUUCCCCCAGCCCAGCCCCCCUGGCUCCUGGUGGAAGAUAUGGAAGAGGAAGAUAAAGCCGCUGGCUGCGGGCGCUGACGGCGCGCAGCCCGCACGCCUCUGCCGCCGCCGCCGCUCCAGCCAGCCGCUUGCAGCGGGAUGAGAUGCAACUCCUGCUAAUUGGAUCACAGGUUUAAGUUGUAAGUGGGUAUCUUGUUACCAGAAGCGAAAUGAAUAACUCAACUUACAUAAACUCUUCCUCUGAAAAUGUGAUGGCCUUGGAGAGCCGCUAUAAAACUGUCGAGGUGGUGUUCAUCGUCCUAGUGGCAGGGUCCCUCAGCCUAGUCACCAUAAUUGGGAACAUCCUGGUCAUGGUGUCCAUCAAAGUCAACAGGCACCUCCAGACUGUCAACAAUUAUUUCCUGUUCAGCCUGGCCUGCGCUGACUUGAUCAUUGGCAUCUUUUCCAUGAACCUGUACACCCUGUACACUGUGAUAGGCUACUGGCCCUUGGGGCCCGUGGUGUGUGACCUCUGGCUGGCUCUGGACUACGUGGUCAGCAACGCCUCAGUAAUGAACCUGCUCAUUAUCAGCUUUGACAGGUACUUUUGUGUCACCAAGCCCCUGACGUAUCCCGUGAAGCGGACCACGAAGAUGGCCGGCAUGAUGAUCGCAGCCGCCUGGGUGCUGUCCUUCAUCCUCUGGGCUCCUGCAAUUCUCUUCUGGCAGUUCAUUGUGGGAGGAAGGACUGUCCCAGAUGGGGACUGCUACAUCCAGUUUUUUUCCAACCCUGCUGUCACUUUUGGCACUGCCAUUGCAGCAUUCUACCUGCCCGUUAUCAUCAUGACUGUCCUUUACUGGCAAAUCUCCCGAGCCAGUAAGAGUCGGAUAAAGAAAGGAAAAAAGGAAGCUGCCCAAAACCAAGAAACAGUUUCCCCCAGCCUUGUCCAAGGUAAAAUAGUGAAACCAAACAAUAAUAAUAUCCCAACCAGUGGGGAUGGGUUGGAGCACAGCAAAAUUCAGAAUGGAAAAACCAGUGAAGAGACUGUGACCAAUAACUGUGUUCAAGGGGAGAAGGAGAGCUCCAACGACUCCACCUCCAUCAGUGCAGUCGCUUCCAACUUGAAAGAGGAUGAAGCUACCAAAGAUGCCAGGCAGGCUUCUGCCUCCCAAGACCAUGUCAAAGCAGAGAACUCCAAGCUGACAUGCAUCAGGAUAGUCACCAAGUCCCAAAAGGGGGACUGCUGUGCGCCUACCAACACUACCGUGGAGAUCGUAGGCACGAACGGGGAGGAGAAGCAGAACAGCGUGGCCCGGAAGAUCGUCAAGAUGACAAAGCAGCCAGCCAAAAAGAAACCACCCCCUUCUAGAGAGAAAAAGGUGACAAGGACGAUUCUGGCCAUCCUCCUGGCCUUCAUCAUCACCUGGACCCCAUACAAUGUGAUGGUGCUCAUCAACAGCUUCUGCACAUCCUGCAUCCCCGGCACCGUGUGGACUCUGGGUUACUGGCUCUGUUACAUCAACAGCACCGUCAACCCCGCCUGCUACGCGCUCUGCAACGCCACCUUCAAGAAGACCUUUAAGGACCUUCUCAUGUGUCAUUACAAGAAUAUAGGAGCUACAAGGUAAAAAUGAUAAUGAAAAUGGUUAUGGAAAGGGCAGAGAAGUUCCAAAUUAAAUUUAAAAAAAAACCCUUUGAUGCUACAGCACUUUAUGGUCUUCUAUGGAAUGUGCAAUCCAGGAUGUUAGUGGAAAUACUGAUAAGGGGCAGCGGCUGUACCCCUGAGGACUACACUUUAAAAAAAUUUUUUAAUAAAUGAAAAUAAAUCUUUGGGACACGGGGAUGUUUGAGAAAUUAUUCAAGUGUGUGGACUGGAGGCACAGUUCCUUACUUUCUGAGAGUGUUCUGCAGAAGGGCUUUAAAGUCUAUGAUUUUUGGGUCAUUCUGUGUAAAAUACUUGUUCUUUCAUUCUCUUUUUCUUUGUUUUUUUCCUGUGUGUUUAUUAUGUCUUCAUCCAGGUAAAAAAAAAAAAAAAAAAACCAAACAAAUUUUAAUAAUAACUGUGUGGAAGAGGCAUAGGAGUUUGGAAGAUCAUUGAAUAAUCCAAAUCAAUCAUGGCAGAAAUUUUCUAAAGCUCAAAGUUGUCUAAAGCUGUUUUGCCACUGUCAUGUAAGAAGCUUAAUGUUAGGUAAAUCAUGAUGGAAGUUUUUUCUGUUGUUUAUGACACCACCAUUUCCAAAACCACAUCAGUUCUGAAAGUGUUCUUAUGCACAACAUGUAAUCAUUGUGUAUUGUUACAAGUCUGCUGCUUGCCCCAUCCCAGGGGCUUUUGUUCUGUGACUACUUCAUCAUGUCAAGAUCAAAGUGAAAAGACUUGGUCUCGUCCAGAUUGCUACAUGCCAAGACUUCUUCAGCAUCCAUGUAAACCAAAGCUUUUGAGACAAUUUUGUUCACUUUAUUCGUCACAUGACAUCAACCUGUGGAUUUGUCUUUUACCUUCAUCAGCCUUUUCUUCCUUUCUGUACCUUACUUGUCCAGGGCAAGACUGAACAUCAAAAGAAGCUGUAAAUUUAAAGGUCUCACCCAGUCGGCCACCAUGGUGGCCAAACAAAGGGUCUCAGCUGAAAAAUAGAAACAAGAUUAUCACCAGAAAAUUAAAAGCUACAUCCAUUUAAAGUUGGAUGUACAGAUGAAGAGGUUUCACUUCCCUCCUGAGUGACAGAUCUGCAGGAUGUAGAUGUCAGUCUUGAAGAGCAGCUCCCCCUGGGUAACCUCGGCUUCCCUGGCUGUCACCUGCACCCUGUGGUCCCCAGGGUGGCCCUGCUGAUGGAGCUGCCUCAUCUUCACCUUCAGCUUGGCCAGAGGAUCCCAGCAGCACAUCCACACCAUGUGCUGUGCUGGCCACUUCUGUCUCACAUAGAAACCCAGCACACUGUGCAGGUGACUCAUGAGAACAACAAGAAAAAGCAAAAACAUCCCAAAAAUGAUAACUGACAACAAAAAACUGCAGCUAGAACUUCUUGCCCCCUCCUUUCCUUCCUCUUUCAUUAUUUCCGGAAAGAGGCUGCCCACAGGGAGUGAUUUGUGUCAUCAUGGGACAGCCCUACCUUCAUGCUCCAGGAAGAGAGCAACAACUUGGAGAUGCAUCAAUCCAGUGGGCAACUUUUCUGAGUGUUAAGGAAGUCUGUGGUCAAAGACAA